GUGCAUGUAGGUUAUGUAUAAAAUCGUAAGGCUGUUAACCUUAAGAAGGUGUGUUGCCCGUGGACG
rnacentral:tRNA from 1 species